CUAUCAAAUAAUUUGUCCACAGCUCAAUAGGCGCUCGUGCCGUCUUCUCUCUUCAGAACUUCGAGACUCGUCUACGACAGUCCAUAUUCUUCUUUCUUCCAUAGUAAUUUCCUGAUCACCUCCCUCCCUUGCCAUUUUCCAAAUCCGAACACCUCUCGAUCGAUCCUUUCUCGAUCCCUAAAUCCCCAAUAGAUGCUGAAUCUCAUACGCAGAUCCAAACCCUCCUCCCUCUGCUCUCUUGCCUCCAAAAUCACUCGAUUCAAAGACCCCUAUCCUUCUCACUCCUCCCCCUCCCAAACUGCCAUCGCCACUGUCGCGGGACGGUGGCGUCUACCCUUGACGGCGAAGCCGGUGGUUUCUUCUACCGGUUAUGAUGGUUGGCGGCGCUCCUACUACACUGCUCGCUCCGAGCUCCAACACUUCCGGCGUCGCCAGGGCCCGCGAUGGUAUCAAAACCCACGAAUUGUUGUCUUGGUCGUUAUCGUCGGAGGCGGCGCAGCCGUAACUUUAUAUUACGGUAACAUUGAGACAGUUCCCUACACCAAGCGCACGCACUUCGUCCUCCUAUCCCCCUCCGUCGAGCGCCAGCUGGGAGAGGCCCAGUUUAAUGAGAUCAAAUCUGCUCUCCGUGGCAAGAUCCUCCCGGCUCUCCACCCUGACAGCAUCCGCGUCCGCCUCAUCUCGAAGCAGAUCAUUGAGGCCGUGCAGCGCGGUUUUCGCCACGGAGAUCAACGAUGGAGCGACAUCGAUUACGCGUCCGAGCAACCUUCGCCGGAGUUCGCGUACUCCACUUCGCCGGAGAAGGCGAGGGGCACCAUUCGGGCCCUUGCUGGCGGCGAUGAGGAGGUGCGGUGGAGCAAGGAGGAUGAGGUUCUUGAUGACGAGUGGGUACAUCAUAGUCGGAAGGAGGGUAAGGCACGGGGAUCGCAGCCGGCGACUCGGCAUUUGGAGGGAUUGAACUGGGAGGUACUGGUGGUGAGAGAUGACAUGGUUAAUGCAAUGUGUCUUCCCGGAGGAAAGAUUAUUGUGUUUACGGGAUUGCUAGAUCACUUCAGGACCGACGCUGAGAUUGCCACGGUGAUUGGGCACGAGGUUGGGCAUGCUAUUGCUCGUCAUUCAGCGGAAGGGAUCACAAAGAACUUGUGGUUUGCGAUACUGCAGCUGAUUCUCUUGCAGUUCUUUGGUAUGCCAGAUGUUAUUAAUGCUAUGUCCCAUCUGCUUCUCAGACUUCCAUUCUCUAGGAGGAUGGAAAUGGAGGCAGACUACAUUGGGCUUCUGCUUGUGGCAUCUGCAGGGUUUGAUCCUCGCGUCGCUCCUCGAGUCUACGAGAAGCUGGGGCAGAUUACCGGCGAUUCUGCUCUCAGGGAUUACCUCUCCACUCAUCCUUCCAGCAAAAGAAGAGCGCAGAUUUUGUCUCAAGCUGAAGUCAUGAAUGAAGCUCUGGCAUUGUACAGGGAAACUAUUGCAGGCCACGGAAUAGCAGGAUUCCUAUAAGUAUCAUGCUUGAGAAAUUGCUGAUGGUAAGCAUCUGCUGUGAGCUUAGUUUGAAGCCAACUGCACCGAAAAGAUGCAGUGUAUUCGCCAUCAUAUCGAUUUAUUUUCUGCUGAUUCCGAGUAGAAAGCAGGUACAUGCAAUUCUUUUCGAAUCAAAAUCGACAUAGUUAACUACCUUCCUUUUUCUUUCUCUCUUUUGAAUUUCAAAAGUAUUUCUGGAAGCAUAUUGAAGAAGUGGGCGUCAACAAUUGUAUUGCCAUUUCAUGCUGUGUGUAUCAGUUAUCCUGAAUUAGGCUUAGGCUUCAUUUGAGACUUAUUGCUUCUUAAAUCAGCUUUCUAUAAAGUUGUUUUAAGCUGCAGUAAGAAUGUAGGCUUAGUUUGGGAUGGCUUUGUUACUGCUUCUGAAAGUAGUAUUUUAGAAUAAAAAUUAAUUUUUUUUACUAGAAAGCUGUUUUAAGAAGCUGUUAAAAAACUGUUUGGAACGAAGCCUUAGUGGUGAUGCUUUAGGGCAGAUCCAGCUUUGAAAAUUUUCCUGAAAAAAGAUAAGGGUGAAUAGUACACAUCACACAGAUCACUCAUUUUAAUAAACAGUUUUUUCUUUGAUACAGAUUUCUGAAACUAUUUAUCAGGUUUUGAGUUCUUUUUGUGUAAUUGGUGUGUCAAUAUGACCUUUCUUUGGACAUAUUCAUUAGAAUUAUGCUAUAUUUCCUGUAGAGCUCAAUUGAUCUCUGAUCAGCCUCUUUGUAAUGGCAAAAUAAUGAUGUCAUUAAAUUGAUUGUUCAAAAAAAGCUUUAGCUGGAGCAAAAUGAUCUUAAAUGCUUAACCUUUUGAGUGAAUUGGUUUGAAAUUAAUUGUG